UCACGACUCUGACGCAAAUCGAAUCGGCAAAUUCGUUCCCCAACCGAGCAACGUCCCAGACUCGCCUGCCUUCCCUCCCCGGCUCGUCGCCGCCGCCGCCGCCGCCACACGCACCUCGUCCCUCAUCCUCCCCCACCUGCCCGUUCAUCAGCGCCAUGUCCGGCACCACGCCGACCCCUACACCCACACCGCCGACGCCGCUCCCGCCGCCGCCGGCGGCCGCUCGCCCGGCGCGGUACGACUUCCUCAACUCCAAGCCGCCGCCCAACUACGUCGCGGGGCUCGGCCGUGGCGCGACCGGCUUCACCACCCGCUCGGAUAUCGGGCCGGCGCGCGCCGCGCCCGACCUCCCCGACCGCUCCACCUCCGCCGCCGGCGCCGCCGCAGCGGGCCCCGCCGUCGGCCGCGGACGCGGGAAGCCGCCCGGCGAGGAUGAAGGCGACGACGACGGCGGCGACGAGGAGAAGGGCUACGACGAGAACCAGAAGUUCGACGAGUUCGAGGGCAACGACGCUGGCCUCUUCUCCAACGCCGACUACGACGACGACGACCGCGAGGCGGACGCCGUGUGGGAGAGCAUCGACCAGCGGAUGGACUCGCGCCGCAAGGACCGCCGCGAGGCGCGCCUCAAGCAGGAGAUCGAGAAGUACCGCGCGUCCAACCCUAAGAUCACCGAGCAGUUCGCUGAUCUCAAGAGGAAGCUGGCCGAUCUGUCCGCGCAGGAGUGGGAGAGCAUACCGGAGAUUGGGGACUACUCGCUGCGCAACAAGAAGAAGCGGUUCGAGAGCUUCGUGCCCGUGCCGGACACCCUGCUUGAGAAGGCCCGGCAGGAGCAGGAGCAUGUCACGGCGCUUGACCCUAAGAGCCGUGCCGCUGGUGGCACAGAGACGCCAUGGGCGCAGACUCCUGUUACCGAUCUCACAGCUGUGGGUGAGGGUCGUGGCACUGUGCUCUCGCUCAAGUUGGAUAGGCUGUCAGAUUCAGUUUCUGGGCUUACUGUAGUUGAUCCCAAAGGGUAUUUGACAGACCUGAAAAGUAUGAAGAUUACUAGUGACGCUGAGAUCUCUGAUAUCAAGAAGGCGAGACUGUUGCUCAAGUCGGUGACGCAGACAAACCCUAAGCACCCACCUGGUUGGAUUGCUGCUGCUAGGCUCGAAGAGAUUGCUGGCAAGCUUCAGGUUGCUCGGCAGCUCAUCCAGCGUGGAUGUGAGGAGUGCCCCAAGAACGAAGAUGUUUGGCUUGAGGCGUGCCGUCUGGCCAGUCCAGAUGAGGCAAAGGCUGUAAUUGCCCGUGGUGUGAUGUCAAUUCCAAAUUCUGUGAAGCUAUGGUUGCAGGCAGCAAAAUUGGAGAGUAGUGAUCUGAAUAAGAGCAGGGUUUUGAGGAAAGGACUGGAGCACAUUCCUGAUUCAGUCCGGCUAUGGAAGGCUGUAGUUGAGCUUGCAAAUGAGGAGGAUGCAAGGCUGUUGCUCCACCGGGCUGUGGAGUGUUGCCCGUUGCAUGUUGAGCUUUGGCUUGCCCUUGCGAGGCUGGAGACCUAUGACCAAGCAAGGAAAGUACUUAACAAGGCAAGGGAGAAGCUCCCCAAGGAGCCUGCCAUUUGGAUUACAGCUGCAAAGCUAGAGGAGGCUAAUGGGAAUGCACAAUCAGUUAACAAGGUGAUUGAGAGAGGUAUCAGAUCUCUACAGAGAGAAGGAAUGGAUAUUGAUAGAGAAGCAUGGCUGAAGGAAGCUGAAGCCGCGGAGCGUGCUGGAUCUGUUUUGACUUGCCAGGCUAUUGUGAAGAACACUAUAGGCAUUGCUGUUGAUGAUGAGGAUCGGAAGCGUACAUGGGUUGCUGAUGCUGAGGAAUGCAAGAAGCGCGGUUCAAUUGAAACAGCACGUGCCAUCUAUGCACAUGCACUUACUGUGUUCCUUACUAAGAAGAGUAUUUGGCUGAAAGCAGCUCAGCUUGAGAAGAGCCACGGGACUAAGGAGUCACUUGAUGCGCUCCUCAAAAAGGCUGUUAAUUACAAUCCACGAGCUGAAGUAUUAUGGCUUAUGGCUGCAAAGGAGAAAUGGUUGGCUGGGGACGUGCCUGCUGCUCGUGCCAUUCUUCAGGAAGCUUAUGCUGCUAUCCCCAAUUCAGAGGAGAUCUGGCUGGCUGCAUUCAAGCUUGAGUUUGAGAACAAUGAGCCAGAGAGAGCAAGAAUGCUCUUGGCCAAGGCCAGAGAAAGAGGAGGGACAGAGAGGGUUUGGAUGAAAUCUGCCAUCGUUGAGAGGGAAUUGGGGAAUGUUGGUGAGGAAAGGAGAUUGUUGGAGGAAGGUUUGAAGCUAUUCCCUUCAUUCUUCAAAUUAUGGUUAAUGCUUGGACAGAUGGAGGACCGACUUGGUAAUGGAGCGAAGGCCAAGGAGGUUUUUGAGAAUGGCCUGAAGCACUGCCCCAGUUGUAUCCCUCUUUGGCUCUCCCUAGCUGGCCUAGAGGAGAAGGUUAGUGGCUUGAGUAAAUCACGUGCUGUCCUCACAAUGGCUAGAAAGAAGAACCCUGCUACACCUGAACUCUGGCUUGCGGCAAUUCGAGCUGAAUCGAGGAAUGGGAACAAAAAGGAAGCUGAUGCUCUACUGGCCAAGGCAUUACAAGAGUGUCCAACGAGUGGUAUUUUGUGGGCUGAAGCUAUUGAGAUGGCGCCCCGCCCACAGCGUAAAGGAAAGAGUACAGAUGCUAUUAAGCGAAGUGAUCAUGAUCCACAUGUCAUUGCAACUGUGGCCAAACUUUUCUGGCUUGACAGGAAGGUUGAUAAAGCUAGGAGUUGGUUGAACAGGGCUGUUACUCUUGCUCCUGAUAUUGGUGACUUUUGGGCAUUGUACUACAAAUUUGAACUUCAGCAUGGAACUGUGGACACACAAAAGGAUGUUCUGAAAAGAUGUGUUGCAGCAGAACCAAAGCAUGGUGAAAAAUGGCAAGAAGUAUCCAAGGCUGUUGAAAACUCACACCUGCCUGUUGAGGCUCUUCUAAAGAAAGCUGUUGUGGGGCUUCAUGUAGAAGAAAAUCUCAAUCCGGCAGGCGCCUAGACUCACUCUUUUUAUAAGGUGUUUGGUGAACAUGUUUUGUACUACUAUCCUUAAAUUUCUGUUUGCUUCAAUAUGAGGAGAUCCAGCCAGGCAUGUUCUCAAGGUGCAUGCAAGAGUGCAGUGGUUGAUUUUCGAGAUUACAAACCAGCAGAAGCCACGAACAUAAGUUUUUUGUUUUGCUUUUCAGAUUUUUCUGGCUUUUAAGCAUUUAUUUAACUGAUGAAGUAUGUGUGAUGGAUUGUAAUUUUGUACUCGUCUAGAGAAGCAAGCUUUUCAGGGUUGUACUCGUGGACGCACGGUGCUUUCGUGGCGCCACGCGGGCUGCCACCUACCUAGCCUGGAAAGGCAAACGGCGCUCAUGCUGGCUGCCGUGCCCUGCCUGCUAGAGUGCUAGCUCUCUAGCGGUCUGUGGAGAUGCGGGAGCAGAAUGGCCCACCGCUGGUGCUAAUGUGUUGGGGACCUUAAAAUGGAUCGAACAAUUAACAUUUUAUUAAGAAAGCCAAAUUGUAUCGUAGUGAAGCUUCCUCUUGCCUAUGGUAUUAAUUAUUGUGGUGUUUUCCUUGUUUUUGUUUGUUAGAAAAUGACACACUGUUUCUUGUUGCAAGUGUUUCAUCAUGGCUUUGCAUAGCAAAGCCUUUCUCAACCAAUUUUCCAAUCUGAAGGUGAAAGGUGUGCAGGCGGUGACUUUGUUGGGCAA